GCACCCUAGCUCAGUUGGCCACAACUCUGCUUUCAAGCUACCCGACUCGCGAUCGGGUGGUCGAGGGUUCAAUUCCCUUUGGGCGCA